GAAAGCGUAGAAGCUGUCCCCCCACCCCCCGCGCGCGAGGCCCAGAAGUGACCCAGUUAUCACGGACCGAUCCUGCAAAGCACUUUUCUUUCAGAGGAAGCAGCAGCAGCACCGUGGAAGUUAGUGGGAUUCUUUUCCAGAUGCAGAGCCUGUUUUUCAGAAGCCACCCCUGAUUUCUCUGAGUCCAAGAUGGCUCCAUUGGACACCAGGGAGAGGCUGAUGUCCAGGAGGAUCUCACAGGAGAGUGGCGGAGAUGCCACCUUGAUAGGUGGUCUAUGAGGUAUCAAAUGUUUCCUUCUUUGUCCAUGGCUAAGUAACCUUUGAGGAGGUGGCUGUACAUUUCACAGAGGACGACUCUGCUGGAUCUGUACCAAAGAUCCCUGCACAGAGAAGUUGUGGAGGAGAAUGGUGGGAAUGUGGCCUCUCUGGAAAUACAUCGAGAUGAGCUAGACUUCAAAAGACAAAGCCCGGUUUGUGUGUGGAGUGAGUCCAAGGAUCUCGAAGGGAUUUGGGGGUUCUUAUCAGCAUUGGCUUUCCUACUGUGAGACAGGAAAUAAGCACAUGAGCACUGAUCUGCCUGACAAGAGUGGCGAGUGAAGAAAUUACUGUAAAGGGCUGCAGAUUUGUCACACAGGACGUGGCAACCAGAGCCAGCCCUACCACGAAGCAGAGCGACAUGGGCCUCUCCAGGCAUUGGAUUCUGGGCCAGUUCUCAGGGAUGGCAUGGCAGUCCACCACCCCAUCAAUGCCCUGCAGAGGAAGGAAAGCAACCUUCCUUCGCCAUGCUGGUGUUGGAAGUGAAGGACUAUGCUCUGUCUCUUGUCUCAAUGACAUAGGAGGACAGACUAGUGAGUCAGAGGGCUAGAGGGUCAAGACAUUGGUCAUCCCUUCUCUACUGCUCUGACACUAUCCCUUUGGAAUGUAGAUUGGUACUCUCAGAGACUGACUGACUGCCACUUCCUCUUCCCUUCUUCUUCCCUUCCUUCUACCUUGCAACAUGCAAGCUCCUCUCCCUUGCACUAUGUGUGCAGAGAUGCAGAAUCCAUCUGCAUCCAGCUAGAGAGAUAGAUUAGAGAUUCUAUCUUCUAACUUUCCUAUCUAGAAUGGAGUUCUCUAAUAAAUACAAUGUAUAUUGAUUUGAAACUAUGAACUGGCUCCAAGUUACUUUACUCUCAGCAUACACGCAUGCCUAACUAAAUUCCGCUGUGUUGUGCCUCUGUGCACUCUGCUAUAAUGAAAAAGGGUUUCUCUUACCAGAGAGAAUUCCCAGCAGCUGGCACUACAGGGCUUUUCUUUUUUCCUUCCUAACAGAACAGAAAUGAAGAGGAGAGAUUGGAAGGAAGGAAGGAAGGAAGGAAGGAAGGAAGGGAAUAGGGGUGUGGUUUUAAUUGGGUGGAAAGAGAAAGUGGGAGGGAGCCAUUUGGUGCUCGGUGUCAAGCAGCAAAAUGUCAGAAGCUAGCAGUGACUGCAAUCUUGGGUGAAGAUCUGCACAAUCCAGUCGUUUUUUUAAAAGGUAGUUAAAUGCAGAGGACGCCCCAAGCUGUUUACUAAUGAAGGGUGUGGCCAUCAUGUUUCUUGAUUAAUGAAGGGCCUGUCAUAGCUAUUAUUUAAGUGAAAGAAUGAUUGCCAGCUUUCAGCAUGCUGAAUAUCAAGGUUAAAUGGGGGGGAAAUAUAUGUCCAUAAACUGCAUUUAUUUAAGAAUGGAAGGAAAGCCAAUCCUUCGUUCAAGCAGCCACGCCACUCAAGGCAAGCACCCACCAGCCAUGCCCAGGAUUGUUGCCUUGCUGUUGCUCCUGCUGGUACCUGUCAGUAUUUUCUGGUCGGCAAGCGCAAUGGUAGCCAACUGGAUUGGGGAUUUUUCUCGUAGUGAGCAUGUUACCAUUUUAAUUUCAAAGGGACUCUGAGAUGAGUAGUUUUCCUCAUAAGGUCAGCCACUAGGGUUGCCAUAUGCUGGCUUUCCAAAUCUGGGUGCCUAAUUUGCAUAUUAUGUAAACUGGCGUCAAAAUAAUUUUUGAGCCGAAUAGUGACUGCACGUUUUGCUCCAUCACUCCGCUUCUACAAGGGCUACAGCUUAGAUUUAUUUUAUUUUAUUUUUAAGAAUGAAAGCUGAAAUCCAGGUGAAUCUGGGUAGGCUAAGCAAUCUAGGUGAGAUGCUUAAAAUCCGGGUGAAACCUGGAAUUUCAGGGGACAUGGCAACUCUAUCAGCCACUGUCUAGAAGAACCCUUAAUGACCUCAUUCAUUCAGACCAAUUCAAACCUCCAAUUCCCUCCAGAAUAAAACCAGUACAUUUCAUCACGCCCCAAAAUGAAACUGCUGAACAGAAGCCAUGAUUGUUUUACCCCCGCACAGCUUUCUUGAUACAGUGAAUAGCAAAACAAUUCACAACAUAAAAUCCUGUUUACAAAAAGAAGGGGUUUAGGCCUCAUACCUCCAUAGCCUGCAUCAUGGGCUGGGAUAGUACAAUAGAAGGCAAGAGUGGGGAGCAUUUGGGCAUCUGCCCGAGCACAGUAUGUCUGUAGCAAUGCUUUGCUGCAGUCCAGUGUCUGGCAGUCUGGAACCUGUUGUGGGCUUCCCAUGUUCAGGUGGGCAUGCUUAGUAAGCCUGUGACAGCUGAGCCGAAUCUGGACUUAUACAAGAGAGUGACUACAGGGAUUUUCUGUUUGGUUUCUGUAAUCAUUCCCUUGCAUAAAUACUUAGCCACAGUUAUUGUAGGCUAGCUAAAUAUCUGUUCCCCACCUGUGAGUUCAUCACAUCCUAUUAACAUCCUGGUCCAGUGUUUGCAGCAGCACCUUUUAAAGUGGCGAUUCUCUAAGAUUUAGCUGGGGGAGAGCAACUACCCAGCCUCAGCACAGCAUCCCUCCUGUGGCUGUUGCUGGUGUCUGCCUUAUAUUUCUUUUUAGAUUGUGAGCCCUUUAGGGACAGGGAGCCAUCUUAUUUAUGUAUUUUUUUCUUUUUCUAUGUAAACCGCUUUGAGAAUUUUGCUGAAGAGCGGUAUAUAAAUAUCAGUAGUAGUCGUAGUAGUAGUAAGGCAGAGGCUUAUCCUUACCCUGCUACCCAAGAUCCCUGACAUGAAGAUGCCAAAGACUGAACUGGAGACAUUGUGCAUGCAAAACAUGUACUCCGCUCCUAAGCUAUGGCCUCUAGAUGAGAUCAUCUUUCUCAGAGCAUUAUGAAAUAUGACAGAAAUGUGGAGGGAGAUGUGGGGCAACACAGGAAGAAGUGGGGAGAGAGAUUUGGGGGAAAGGUAGAAAAGGAAAUGUGCGCAAGAGUGAGCAAAAUCCUUCUUCAGGAAAAAGAGUGUAUGGAGAGUGGUGGAGAGAUGAGGGUGCAAAGCAGGUGAGGAGAGUGAACUAGGCACAUCGGAAGCUGCCUUCUACUGAGUCAGACCAUUGGUCCAUCUAGCUCAGUAUUGUCUACACAGGCUGGCAGCGGCUUCUCCAAGGUUGCAGGCAGGAGUCUCUCUCAGCCCUAUCUUGGAGAUGCUGCCAGGGAGGGAACUUGGAACCUUCUGCAUGCAAGUGUGUAAAUGCUCUUCCUGGAACAGCCCCAUCCCCUAAGGGGGAUAUCUUACAGUAUGCACAUGUAGUCUCCCAUUCAAAUGCAAACCUGGGUGGACCAUGCUUAGCAAAGGGGACAAUUCAUGCUUGCUACCACAAGACCAGCUCUCCUCCCUUAUGCACGUAAGUGCAUAAGAUGAGGCUGGCUCAUAAGGGACAAAGGUCUGCUUCAGGAAAGGAUCAGACAUUUCCCUGUGGUCUAUAUUAUUUUUGUUAUAAUCCUGUUUUGACCUUGGGUGAGGUCAUUUUUGCCUUGCUGAAGCAAAACUUUUUUCUUUUUUUUGCCUUGCUGAGUUCUUGAGAUCUUGUUCUUGCCCCCACCUUGCCAACUCAUUUUGUUGGUCAUACCAUACAUUAUUUGAGUCUCACAUCCUCUUUCAUACUCUGAUCAUCAUGUACCGGCAUUCACUCUUUUCCUUCUGCUUCAAAGCCUUUUAGGAAUCUUCAGGUCCGUGACCCAGUUUCUUCCAUUUUUUCACAAUUAUUAUCCUACCCGUUCCGGGUAUUACUAAUAGUUCUGGCUUCUUUAAAUUCUGCUCUUGCUUCGUCACUUGACUGUUUUACUCCUCUCUCUGUUAAUUCACAUUAUCCAUUAUCUUCACAACCUUGUCUUUCUCUAUUUCUCCAACUUUGUACUCUUGUACUUUGAGGACUCAUGGGAAAGAUCUAAUUCCCAGGGGCAUAGCUAUAAUUGAGUGGAUGGGUUCAAAUGGGUGUAUUGAACCCCUCCGCUCAAUUAUAGCUACACUCCUAGGUUCAAAGAAACCAGGCCCCCCCAGCUCCUGAGAGCUGCCCGGCUCACCCCUAUUUUCUUAAUUAUCUCCCUUACUCCAAGGGGCUUCCAGAGAGAGGGUCAAACACGAGCCUUCUCUCCCCUAGCUGUGCCCCUGCUGAUUCCUUACCAGAUUAGAGAGCUAAGCCCGCUCUCCUCGCAGACCUCACUGAGGCGCUUCACAGCAAUUGUGUGGAGAGCCUCACUGACUACUUGUUACAAGCUCUUCUGGAGAGGAACUCUGCAGCUGCUUGCUUGUAGCAGCCAUGUUGUUUUAUAAAUUUCCCUCUAUGACACAGCAUCAUUGUGAGGCACUGUUGACAAUCAGUGGCUGCCAUACACAGAGGGGCACCUACCUAGGUAAUUUUGGAGCCUGGACCAGGAGGCCUUUGGAACUGCCCCUCCCCUGCAAAUUAAGCAUCAUCAUGGUCAGCUGGACAACCAUACCAUCCGGGACAGACUAAAGAGGAUUUGGGGGGCCCCUAUGGCUGUGGAGGCCCUGGACUUCAGCCCAGAAGUCCAGGGGUAAGAGCGCCUCUGGCCAUACAUCUUGAGGAAUAUGGGUAAAACAGCAUGUCCACAAGCCGGUGGCUGCAUGAUGGAGCUUCUCUCCAGAGGAACUUGUAACCAGUUGUACUCUUUUUUUUCAGUUUAAAAAGAAAAUGAAAAAUAAAUUGGGUUCCAAAACUAGAACGCUCAUAUGUUCCAUUCAUUUCAGGAUGUAUUCAUUUAGGAAUUAUUGGAAAUGAAUACAAAUGAAGCCCAUUUGUACCCUUUACAUUUAUUCCAGAAAUGAAUGUCUGCUAUUCAUUCUGUUGUGCAUCUCAUCUUUCCUGCCCAUAAUUUUGACCUUGUUUCUCCUCUUCUCUUGGCUCCUUCCUUAUUCACUUUAAAAUUCUACUACUCACAUUUAAAUCCUCACACUCUAUUCUCUCAGCUUAUUUUUGUUUUGUGAUUUCUUUUUAUACUCCUCUCUGAGUUCUGAGUGCCUCCUACUCUGGCUGAAUUCAAACAUACUUGGAAACCAGAAGUCCCUUCAUCUCUGGUUUCCCAAACUGCACAUCCAAAUUUGGGAAACUAGAGUUAAGGGCGAGAAGGGACCCAAAUUUUCCUUCCCAAAAUGCACUCAGUCAGCAUGCCCAUACCUCCAGUUCUGUGGUGCCAGCAUUACAUCCAAAUGCUGCCACUGCAGUUUGGGCCCGACAGAACCGGAGUUGAGGGAGGAAACUCCUCCCUCACUCCAGCCUGAUUGGCUGUGUGGGCUGUCCUUCUGUCAAGCUCCCCUGCCUCUCUGCAGAGAGGAAGUUCUCCCCAACAUCCAAAUGUGGACGGGAGAGCAGGGGGAAGAGUGUGUGCAACUGCAGUUCCAUUGGACCUGCAGUUCCGUGUUAUGUCUGAACCAGGCGUUUGAGUGCCUCCAACACCAAACUUCCACAUGCACCAACCAAGGUUUCAAUGAGGCUAUUAAUGGGGAAGAACCAGGUGAAAGGAACCCAGCUCAGUUUUCUCCCAUCAUGAGAACCACCGGGCUCGUGGGUGAGCCCAGUGGUUCUCUGGCAGCUAGCCCGCCAAAGAAGCCCUCCCCUUAAAUGGGGUUAGUGGAGUGAGUGCUCCGCUAACCCUGUUUUCCCGAUCGCGAGACACCACGGUGCGGCUCCAUGCCAUGGUGACUUGCAAGGAGACCCCGCUGGGAGGCUAAAAUGAGCCUCCCGCUGUCAGGGGUCUCCCCAGGAUGCCCCAUGCACUCACCAGGUGGUCCCUGAUCCCUGCAGCCCCUAUCGGCUCCAUGACAGAGCUGGUAGUCAUAUGGGUGGCUGAUCCAGCCGCCCAGCAACGAGCAGCUGCUUGUCUGUGGGGAGAGCAGGCUAAGCCCUCUCCCCCCUGCAGAACCCUCCCAGGCUGUACACACGGAUCAUGUGUAGAGCCUCAAUCUGUUGUAUCAUUGCUUCCUCCAUUAUCUUUGGCAGCACCCUAUCUUUAGAAUUAAUUGUCUCCAGGUAUUCAUGUGAUUCAGCCCCUCCCACUCUUUAAAAGUGCCUCAAGACACAUUUAUUUUUCCAGCUGCCCCUAAUUUGCUGAGAUGUUAGCUUAGUAUCCUUCCACUGUCUUUCCUUACAUCUCUCCUUCCUUUUGCCUUAUGUGUCUGUCUAUUUAGAUUUUGCUACACGGAGAGCAUGGCGUGUAUAAUUUAACCAUGCUUCCCUUUGACAGCUCCAGGACAAAAGUUGUGUGUUCCAAUUCUUACCUCCAGCAGGAGGACCGGUAUCACCCCAAACAGGAAAAAAAUUGCACCUGACAUGGCAAACGUGUAGGUGAACCCAGAGGAAGCCUAAGCAUCCUCUAAGGGAAUGUAGUAAGAGACGUGCUUAACUAUUUCUCCAUAAACUGUUGUUGCAGGGUGUGUGUUGUGGGGGGUGGGGGUAGAGGAUGAAGUCAA